GCGCAGCUGGCCAGCUUGCUGAACGCCCGGGGCACCGGAGCCGGGAGGGAGUGCGGAUGCACGUCCCGGGAGGCCCGGGCCGAAUCCAGGCAGAAACUUUGUCCCAGAGGCCAACCGGGAAAGGAAGCGGUCCUAAAUCUGGGUGACUUGACCUUCUAAAGUCACCACCCUAAAGCAGCAGAGAAAGAGGAUCCUUGCCAAGGAAAUUCCCACAACCUGCUUGCUGAGCAGGUGGUCUGUGCUUUUCUAAGGAAAAAGCAGAGUGAGAUUUGAGACAGAAGAGGAAAAGAUACAAGACGAGAAGCCACGUAAAAAUGGAGGCAGAGACCGAAGUGAAACAGCCACAGCCAAAGAAGGUCUGAAGCCACCAGAAGCUGGAAGAGGCAGAGAACAGAUUGUCCUCAUGAGGCUCAGAAGUCCCUGUGUUCACCUUGAUUUUGGAUUUCUGAACUUCAGAAUUGAGAGAGAAUAAAGUUCUGUGUUUUCAACCA